GAUGAACGCUGGCGGCGUGCCUAAUACAUGCAAGUCGAGCGAACAGAUAAGGAGCUUGCUCCUUUGACGUUAGCGGCGGACGGGUGAGUAACACGUGGGUAACCUACCUAUAAGACUGGGAUAACUUCGGGAAACCGGAGCUAAUACCGGAUAACAUUUGGAACCGCAUGGUUCUAAAGUGAAAGAUGGUUUUGCUAUCACUUAUAGAUGGACCCGCGCCGUAUUAGCUAGUUGGUAAGGUAACGGCUUACCAAGGCAACGAUACGUAGCCGACCUGAGAGGGUGAUCGGCCACACUGGAACUGAGACACGGUCCAGACUCCUACGGGAGGCAGCAGUAGGGAAUCUUCCGCAAUGGGCGAAAGCCUGACGGAGCAACGCCGCGUGAGUGAUGAAGGGUUUCGGCUCGUAAAACUCUGUUAUUAGGGAAGAACAACCGUGUAAGUAACUGUGCACGUCUUGACGGUACCUAAUCAGAAAGCCACGGCUAACUACGUG
rnacentral:rRNA from 1 species